UCCUAUUGGUUGGAACCUUUUUCCUCAGGAUUGAUGACAUGGCAGGGGCAUCCACCCCAACCACGCAUCGCACGCACCCAUCGUGCGUGGGGCCCUCAGCAUCGCUCGCACGCAUCGCACCGGGCCCUCUCCGUCGUCCCUUAUCCACCCCACCCCAUGUUCUCUGUGUCUCUAUCUCUCGCACCAUUCUUUCUCUCAUCGGCGCAACCAGCUCGCCCGCGUACUGGUCCUCUUGCCGGAGCCACCAGCCGCGGGUCCUCCGGCCGGCGAACCCUCCGCCACCGCCGGCAGACCUCCGGCCUCCCCUUCCUCUGCUUUGCCUCCUUCGGCACCCUUCUUCUCCCGCUGCAACGCGCCACAAGGAACCAGCGGGGCAGACGGCGCGAGCAGGGCACGGCCGCUGCGGGCCUGUGCGGGCAGGGCGGCCAGCACGGGAGGCCGCUACGAGCGACGCGCAGGCGGGCGGCGGUAGCAGGGCGCGGGCGGCACGAGCAGGGCAUUGCCGGCGCGGACAGGGCGGCCAGUGUCCUCCGUUCGACUCCGAUUGCUGCUGUGGACACGACCAACAAACAUGAAACUAAUGAUGAACGUACGGACAUGAAUUGGACACAAACACGAAACGGACAGACACGAAUGACGAACAGCGGCGUGGAUUUUGUAGCGCGUUAUUUUUAUUUUUUUAAUUUUAAUCCCAUUUUUUGACGUCUGUUGUACCUCGGCUGACGGCAAAGACUGCCGUUAGCCACCUAACAGACUAACAACGAAUUUAUUGCUGUCCGCUUUCUUUGCUGUCCGCUUCAGAAAUCAAACGGCAAAGAAGGUCGUUACC